UACGAAGGGGGCUAGCGUUGCUCGGAAUUACUGGGCGUAAAGCGCACGUAGGCGGAUUUGUAAGUCAGGGGUGAAAUCCCAGAGCUCAACUCUGGAACUGCCUUUGAUACUGGCAAGCUAGAGUCCGGAAGAGGUAAGUGGAACUCCUAGUGUAGAGGUGGAAUUCGUAGAUAUUAGGAAGAACACCAGUGGCGAAGGCGGCUUACUGGUCCGGAACUGACGCUGAGGUGCGAAAGCGUGGGGAGCAAACAGG
rnacentral:rRNA from 1 species